rnacentral:lncRNA from 1 species
AGCUCUUCCUUCCUGCCAGGGUUGGGGGAGUGGGGGGGGAGGGGAAUUGGUCCUGGUGUUGGAGGAGAGAGGAGCUUGUUCAGCCCAGUCUGGAGUGGCAUGCUCUUCUUGGUUCAGCCCAAAGACACAGGCUUCUAAAGUGCUGAGGAGAGGAAGAGUUCUGCGUCUAGACUGCCGCCAUGUUUACCAGGAAGUAUUGAAAAUAUUAUAGAAGGUGUUCAUGAACCAAUGGUAUGAAGAGACUUCAGUUUAUUUAAAGGAUAGAUGUUUUUCCUGAAGAUAUCAGAUGAGUGCUAAUUCUGUUAAAGAUGGCUAUAUACCAAUAACUAAGCCUGAUAAGCCCUUCAUUGUCAGUUAACAAGUGGUAAUCACUUCACACUCUUAAAGCAGAAUCUCCUCUACAUCAUUCCUGGGGCUCCUUCUUAUAUACACUUCAAUCUUUUUUGGAUGGCAAAAAGAAUCUUUGUUAACAGUAUAAAGCAAAUAAAAAUAUACUAAGUUUCA